GGCAGUGUUGCUCAAUGGAAAGAGCACUGGCUUGGGAGUCAGAGGUCAUGGGUUCGAAUCCCAGCUCCGCCA
rnacentral:tRNA from 1 species